GACGAACGCUGGCGGCGUGCCUAAUACAUGCAAGUUGAGCGAUGAAGAUUGGUGCUUGCACCAAUUUGAAGAGCAGCGAACGGGUGAGUAACGCGUGGGGAAUCUGCCUUUGAGCGGGGGACAACAUUUGGAAACGAAUGCUAAUACCGCAUAACAACUUUAAACAUAAGUUUUAAGUUUGAAAGAUGCAAUUGCAUCACUCAAAGAUGAUCCCGCGUUGUAUUAGCUAGUUGGUGAGGUAAAGGCUCACCAAGGCGAUGAUACAUAGCCGACCUGAGAGGGUGAUCGGCCACAUUGGGACUGAGACACGGCCCAAACGCCUACGGGAGGCAGCAGUAGGGAAUCUUCGGCAAUGGACGAAAGUCUGACCGAGCAACGCCGCGUGAGUGAAGAAGGUUUUCGGAUCGUAAAACCCUGUUGGUAGAGAAGAACGUUGGUGAGAGUGGAAAGCUCAUCAAGUGACGGUAACUACCCAGAAAGGGACGGCUAACUACGUG
rnacentral:rRNA from 1 species